CACGGAAAUAAGGCAAAUUAUUGCUCAGGAGCAUCUGGCUUCCCUUUGUAGCUUAUUUCACAGCAAAAUGCACAAUGUUUCCUUUCACAGGUGAGUUGAGAUAAACCCUCACAGAUUCCUGAGCACUGAGGAAAUGCCUCCUUCCCAAUCCAAGACUCGGCAGAAAAAGGCUGGAAAAGAGAAGGUUUGUGACAAAAACUCUGCAGGAGACUCAAAGAUCCACCGUGGGAAGUGGAGGGAAGAUCAGAGCAGAGGCCAAGUGAAGGCCAAAGAGUUACUGCCUGGACAAGGUGAUGGCCUUGGAGAAGAGCCCUUAAAAAUCCAGAGGCUGGGGAGGCCUCAGGAAAGCAAAGAAAAUGACCACAAGAAGUUAUUCCAAAAAAAAAGAGCCUGCAGGAGAAAUGAUAAAAGUGAAUCCGGUUUGGGGAGAAAACGUGGAGUGUCCAGGUUGGAGGGGAGAAAAGGAAAGGCUUGUAAGCAAAGGGAAAUGCCAUCAGGGCAGGAGACUGAGGACAGCAGUGACAAGGAAGGAAAAGCCAUCACAAACAGAAAGAAACGGAGUUUUAAAAAGAGGUGUGGAAAGAGACUUGGUGAGACAGGCUCUGAGCUGGGGGCUGCAAAGGCUAUCACAGAACAGGGUGCUAAAGGCUCUUUUCAGAAACAGAACUUGGCAGAAAAGGCACAGAACCCCAGGGGAAGGCACAGAGGGAAUUGGGACUUCAAGGAGGCUUCUGAACAGAAAUCAGGUUCUCAAUCCCAAGGCAGUACAGCACAGGAAAAAGGUGAGAGGACUGGGAAAAAGCAAGUUGAAAAUCUUACCAGGAUUGUCAUUACUGAAAGUGAGGAUGAAAAUAUUCUGGAAACCUCAGGUAACUCCUGCUCUGACUCCAGCAGUGAAGGCCAUGGAACCCACAGAACAGCUACAAAGGAGACUGUGGUGGACAGCACUUCCUCCAGUGAAGAGAAAAGCAGCUCUUGUGAAGAGAAGAGCAGCUCUUGUGAAGAGAAGAGCAGCUCUUCAGGGGAAGAUGGCAACAGUGGGAAAGAAGUUGUGCUCAAAGAUCCUCCUGUGAGUGAAGGAAAAGGCUACAAGGAACUGGCUGAUGAAAGCAAGGAAGCAUCUAUUGAACCUGAAAAGGAGCAGGUGACCACAAGUGGAAAAAUUGAAUCUGAGGCCAAAGGCACUGAAUUUGCAGAAUUGGAAGCAGAGGAGAGGAUGAGGAAGCCAGACAACGUGCUGAGACAACCGGAAUGUGCUCCAGCUGAGAGCAGUGAGGCAGAUGAUCAGUUAAGCACUUCAGGACCCCCAGUUAAGAGUGUUAAGGAAAGGAAAAAUAUUGAAGUAGACAAGGAAAAUAUACUAGAAAAUGACAGAGAUAUGUCAAAAGAUGGACCAGUGAAUUCUGACAGCAGUGGGGAGAGCAGCCCUGUAGAGAAUAUUGAUGAAAUAAAAGAAAACAAACCAGAACUGCUCCCAACUGCUGUGAAAGCAGAACUCCACAUUCACCUUAGCAGAUGUGAACAGGAAAAGAAGGUGAAUGAUGAAGGCAGACAGGUAGAAGAUGGAUCUUUCCUCUCCAAGGAGCAGAAGACAUUGAAGGAGAAACCUGGAAAAUGCAAGAUCCCAGAACAAGGUGAAGAGGCUGGGCAUAGGCAGAGGGACAGUUCAGACUGCAGCAGGCAGGACCUGCCAGCUCUGAUGCUUACAAAGAAAUGUCCUUCUCAAUCCCAAAUCCCUCUGGAAAACCAGCAUAAAAACACUGAGAUCAAACUAUCACCAAGAAACCAGAAACCAAAUCCUGCCCAGAUGGCUCUGGGAACCAGCUCAGACCUGAACAAUGUUGCAAACAUCUGUUCAAAACCCAUAACUCUAGAAACUCCCAGUAAACAGAAAGAACCCAACAUAGCUCAGAGUUUUGGAGAGAAAAGAUUAAAUACUUCAAGCUGCUCCACAAUUACAAAAGAAUUGUCUGAUAAGCAGCUCUUUGGAAAGAAGAAGAAAGUUGGAAAAGUUAUUGGAAAAGUUAAACAGAGUUCAGGCCAGUCUACAAAGGCAAAAAAAGAGAAAGCAGAAGAAGUGGUUGCAGAGGCACCUUCUGAAACAGAACCUGGGUACGGUGGGGAAGGAUCCAAGCACUUGCACACCCGUUGUGCUUUUAGAAAAGUCACCAGCUGGCUUGGCCAAAAACCUGCCAAGAAAGCAAGGCUGAAAGCUCGAUUGCUGAGUGUGGCACGUGCAAUUGGUAUCUCCAGUUGGCUCUUGAAGAAAUUUGGAAAGAAGAAGAAGAAGAGCAGCAAACCUUUUGGAUUCAGAAGUAGAAUGGCAAUCCGGAUUCUGAGCACUGCUGGGUGGGCUGGUCAGUCUGGCAAAGCCUUCCCUGGUGGAGCUGAACAGCUGGAGAGGGCUGAGCUGAGGGACAAAGAAUCUUCUGCUGCAUUAGUGGGGGGGAAAGGUGGUCCUAAAAUGAUAGAGGAAGUGGAACACAUUGAUUUGGCUCCUGGUGAUUCCCCUGCUCAUGGAACCGGUUCCUUUCCAUGCUCAGAUGAGAAGAACAGUGCUACUGAUGCCAAGUUUGCUGUAGUGUUCCCCAGAGUCCACAGCUUGGUAAAGGCUAAGAACUCCUUGUCCAGGGGCUCUGUCAGUGGUUAUUCCUUACAGAAAAUGAAAUCUCCAUCAGAGAGAAGAUCUGUCACUCCUGUGCAACAGAGUCACAGAUUCAAAUGUGACCUUCCCAGACCUCUGACGGAUCCAAGCCAGCGAAACAGUGAGCAGGGCUUCCUCCCACAUCGAGAGGAGGAGCCACUUCAUACAUCAGAUUAUUGCAGUGAGGUGGACACCAAGGAGGGUUCAGGUGACCUCCAGACUGCAGGGGCCGUGGUCACUCCUGGUGUGCACUGGUCCCAGCAGCAGGGAUGUGACCCUGCAGCGUGGCUGAACUCUGAGCUGCUGCCACAGCCAACCAUCGAGAACCUGAGCAAAUGGGCCAUCUCCAAGGAGCCCCAGCUGGCCAGCAGCCGUGUGAGGGUCUGCAAGGACCAGUGGGAGGCAGAAGAUGUUGCUGACAACAUGCUGGAGAUGGAGUUCAUGCAGGAACAGGUGUACAUGUGUGAAGAACACUGUGCAGAACUUGAGGAGAUUGAAGAUCUAACCAGACUGGAGUAGG
rnacentral:lncRNA from 1 species